rnacentral:rRNA from 1 species
UGGGGAAUAUUGCACAAUGGGCGCAAGCCUGAUGCAGCGACGCCGCGUGAGUGAAGAAGUAUUUCGGUAUGUAAAGCUCUAUCAGCAGGGAAGAUAAUGACAGUACCUGACUAAGAAGCUCCGGCUAAAUACGUGCCAGCAGCCGCGGUAAUACGUAUGGAGCAAGCGUUAUCCGGAUUUACUGGGUGUAAAGGGAGUGUAGGUGGUUUGGUAAGUCAGAUGUGAAAACCCAGAGCUCAACUCUGGGACUGCAUUUGAAACUAUCAGACUGGAGUGCAGGAGAGGUAAGUGGAAUUCCUAGUGUAGCGGUGAAAUGCGUAGAUAUUAGGAGGAACACCAGUGGCGAAGGCGGCUUACUGGACUGUAACUGACACUGAGGCUCGAAAGCGUGGGGAGCAAA